GAAAUGCGAUAAUUAAUGUGAAUUGCAGAAUUCAGUGAAUCAUCGAGUCUUUGAACGCACAUUGCGCCCCCUGGUAUUCCGGGGGGCAUGCCUGUCCGAGCGUCAUUGCUGCCCUCAAGCACGGCUUGUGUGUUGGGCUUCCGUCCCUGGCAACGGGGACGGGCCCAAAAGGCAGUGGCGGCACCAUGUCUGGUCCUCGAGCGUAUGGGGCUUUGUCACCCCCUCCCGUAGGUCCAGCUGGCAGCUAGCCUCGCAACCAAUCUUUUUAACCAGGUUGACCUCGGAUCAGGUAGGGAUACCCGCUGAACUUAAGC
rnacentral:misc_RNA from 1 species